rnacentral:rRNA from 2 species
UACGUAGGGCGCAAGCGUUAUCCGGAAUUAUUGGGCGUAAAGAGCUCGUAGGCGGUUCGUCGCGUCUGCCGUGAAAGUCCGGGGCUCAACUCCGGAUCUGCGGUGGGUACGGGCAGACUAGAGUGAUGUAGGGGAGACUGGAAUUCCUGGUGUAGCGGUGAAAUGCGCAGAUAUCAGGAGGAACACCGAUGGCGAAGGCAGGUCUCUGGGCAUUAACUGACGCUGAGGAGCGAAAGCAUGGGGAGCGAACAGG